UGGGUCUGCGGGAGGGCCUUAGCGCCCUGGACGGAACGACGGUUGAGAUAGCGCCACGUCUGCUCGAUCGGACGGUCGAAAAUCCAAAGCGCUGUGAGAGCUCCAUGAGGGUGCAGCAAUCAUACCGUGGGAUUGCCAAGGCAUGAGCUGAUGUUGCUCAGCAUAAGGAAUGGAAGUAUAUAAAAAAAGAUUGAUGAUUCUUGGAAAGUCAUGAAUAAGUUGAGUGAGGAUGGAAAAUAAAGGUAUGUCUACGGAGCAUUACACUGAGAUAUCAAAUCUGUAACUUUGUCGAAUUAAAUGGUACCAAGCGCUGCUAUUAGUCUGAUCUUACACUACUAUCAUAGUUAUGUAAAAACAAUACAGGUAGAUGAAUGCAACUGCUCUGAUUUAGUACAUAGUAGUUACCAAAGUUCCAAGAAAGCAUAAACAUCUAAUGGUGUUACUCAUUUAGUUACAGUUUGUGGCUGCUGAAUCCAAGAUUUUUUUUUUGAUCUCUCUUUGCCAUCUUUUCAUAAGUUCCAACUCACUGAGUAAAAAAAGACAGUUAUCCAAGGGAAAGAAAUAUCCAAAUAUACCAUGCAUUGUGUACUGCUUUGCUUCAAAUAUAUUAUUUUAUCCUUUUUUAAUUAAUAAGCUCAUUCUUCUCUACUUGGCUAAUGAUACAUCCAUUAGAUGUGACAUUAUCAGAUUUUCUUGGAAUUUUGUCUCCUUUAAAUCAGAGGUUUAUACAUAAUAAUAAAAGCACAAUUAUCGUGUCAAUUCUACUUGAAUUAUGUGAAACUUCGUAAUAUCCAGUAUUUCCACUAUAGGAGGCACCUAAGUGGUUAAUUGUUUUGAUGAAGGGGGCACAUCCACAUCCCUUAUCCUGAUAGUAAGUUGACUCGCAUCCUCCAUUCUGCACUUGUAAGCAACGCAAAGGCAUCAAAUCAUAUGCACUUCUGCACCUAAAGAGACGUGCUCAUAUUUACUUGUGCUACAUCUAAGUAGGUCAUAUAGUGUCAAAAUUUUCUGCACUUACCCAACGUUCACCUGUAUUGCAUAUUCUAAAAUGUUAAUAGAGAUUCAUAUCAAGCAAACUAUAGGAACUCUUCAGUCUACAAGUAGAACAAGAUGUGUCAGCAAUUGUACCCAAUUAUCGAAACUUCUAUGUUGCAAUAUGAGUUUUAGUUUCUUAUAAGUACAUCUUGCACAAAUAAUUUUUUACCACGUUAAUUUUAAUACCAGCAAUAUGAUAGUAUAUAUCUGUACUUUUGUGUAUUUAACUUGUUCUAUUGUUUUCAAUUAUUAUUAUUUCUUAUGUGUGAAAUGUAUUUGACAGAAAUUUCUGAAAUAUAUUUAGGGUAAUGGUCUGGUGCUCAUGACAACAUUUGCAUCGUCAGAAUGAGACUCAAUUAUUGAGCCAGUUUAUCAGCAUGGUUUAUAAGUAGUGAUAUUUUGAGAACCUAACAAUGGGUGUUUGUUAUAUCAGAUUCUAACAAUGGGUGUUGAUAUAUCAGAUUCAGCAUAAGAACUUCGUCAAAUGCUGCAGUACAAGAGUUAUAAAUUUUGCAGCACGGCUGCUAAUAAAAAAUGCUGCAAUAUUUGGGUUAUUUGCUGAAGAGGGUGACCAAAAGGAGGCCUAACAAAUCACGAGUUGUAACUAGGAGAGUACAUACAAAGAACCAAGGAAAAAAGAGGAUCUCUCUGCUAUCAGCCCGACUACCCGAGCCAAUUGGGUGAAAACCAAGAAGGCCAACCGGGCCGAAGAGUGCCAUCUUCACUCCCGACAACAAUGUUGUGCAUUGGACAAAGGAGACAUCUGUCCUCCUAGAUGCUGGCCCCUCAGUCAAGGAAGGAGAUUUAAGCAUCUUUUCAUCCGAUGAUUAAGAGGACUACUAGGAAAACUGGGGCUGACGAUUAUCGAGGCGCAAGAAAAGUGUUAGGACAACUGUCCUAGCAUGUUAACCUAUUUUCCACUUCUAUGCAUUAGUAGUAGAUGUUCGUUCUGUUCCAGAUGUCUCCUUGUACUAAUGUGGUGAACCAAUCUCUGAAUAUGUAUUUGUACUGCUACUUAUGCAUC